CCUACGGUGUGCAGCAGUGGGGAAUAUUGGACAAUGGGCGAAAGCCUGAUCCAGCCAUGCCGCGUGUGUGAAGAAGGCCUUCGGGUUGUAAAGCACUUUCAGUGGGGAAGAAAGCCUUGGGGCUAAUACCCUCGAGGAAGGACAUCACCCACAGAAGAAGCACCGGCUAACUCCGUGCCAGCAGCCGCGGUAAUACGGAGGGUGCGAGCGUUAAUCGGAAUUACUGGGCGUAAAGCGCGCGUAGGCGGUCUGAUAAGCCGGUUGUGAAAGCCCCGGGCUCAACCUGGGAACGGCAUCCGGAACUGUCAGGCUAGAGUGCAGGAGAGGAAGGGAGAAUUCCCGGUGUAGCGGUGAAAUGCGUAGAGAUCGGGAGGAAUACCAGUGGCGAAGGCGGCCUUCUGGACUGACACUGACGCUGAGGUGCGAAAGCGUGGGUAGCAAACAGGAUUAGAUACCCUGGUAGUC
rnacentral:rRNA from 1 species